rnacentral:rRNA from 1 species
UAAUUUGACUCAACGCGGGAAAUCUUACCAGGUCAGGACACAUUGAGGAUUGACAGAUAGUUAUACCAAACACGAGCUCGAACCAGAGUUCGUAUAUGAUUUACAAAAUCUAACGGCUCUUACAUGAUUAUGUGAUAGGUGGUGCAUGGCCGUUCUUAGUUCGUGGAGUGAUCUGUCUGCUUAAUUGCGUUUGGAUACAACAAUUUUGGAAUCGCGGCAAUGUUCAGCUUAAUGGCGUCGAUAAAAUUAACAUUAUGUUGACAAUUAGUCCAACUCGGUCCAGCUCGAUUCUUUCCAAUGCAACGAGCGUGAUCGCGACCCCUUGUUGAGCUUAUUACACAUAAGCUCUAUGUCGACGGAACGCUUUUGCGUUACGGAGACAAACUCGGGGGACAGCUUCAAUCAAUUUUCUCAAACGAGAGGAAGGUUGCGGCAAUAACAGGUCUGUGAUGC